rnacentral:rRNA from 1 species
UACGUAGGGCGCAAGCGUUGUCCGGAAUUAUUGGGCGUAAAGAGCUCGUAGGCGGUUUGUCGCGUCUGCUGUGAAAACCUAAGGCUCAACCUUGGGCUUGCAAUGGGUACGGGCAGACUAGAGUGCGGUAGGGGUGACUGGAAUUCCUGGUGUAGCGGUGGAAUGCGCAGAUAUCAGGAGGAACACCGAUGGCGAAGGCAGGUCACUGGGCCGCAACUGACGCUGAGGAGCGAAAGCAUGGGGAGCGAACAGG